UCACUUGAAUAGCAAAUAUCCUAAAAUUGGAUGAAGAGACUAGCAUGCCCCUCCCCAAGGAUGACAUGCAAAUUCAUGAAAUGUGUCUUUAUUUU
rnacentral:snRNA from 1 species